UAAGGAAUAUUGGUCAAUGGACGCAAGUCUGAACCAGCCAUGCCGCGUGAAGGAUGAAGGUCCUCUGGAUUGUAAACUUCUUUUAUCUGGGACGAAAACGGGAUUUUUAUCUCAAUUGACGGUACCAGAGGAAUAAGCACCGGCUAACUCCGUGCCAGCAGCCGCGGUAAUACGGAGGGUGCGAGCGUUAUCCGGAUUUACUGGGUUUAAAGGGUGCGUAGGUGGGCUUAUAAGUCAGUGGUGAAAUCUCCGAGCUUAACUUGGAAACUGCCGUUGAUACUAUAGGUCUUGAAUUAUCUGGAGGUAAGCGGAAUAUGUCAUGUAGCGGUGAAAUGCUUGGAUAUGACAUGGAACACCAAUUGCGAAGGCAGCUUACUAUGCGGUGAUUGACACUGAGGCACGAAAGCGUGGGUAGCAAACA
rnacentral:rRNA from 1 species